rnacentral:rRNA from 1 species
CACGUAGGCACCAAGCGUUGUCCGGAUUUAUUGGGCGUAAAGAGCUCGUAGGCGGUUCGGUAAGUCGGAUGUGAAAACUUUGGGCUCAACCCAAAGCGUGCAUUCGAUACUGCCGUGACUUGAGUUCGGUAGGGGAGUGGGGAAUUCCUAGUGUAGCGGUGAAAUGCGCAGAUAUUAGGAGGAACACCGGUGGCGAAGGCGCCACUCUGGGCCGAAACUGACGCUGAGGAGCGAAAGCGUGG